UACGUAGGGGGCUAGCGUUGUCCGUAUUUAUUGGGCGUAAAGAGCGUGUAGGCGGCCAGGUAGGUCUGCUGUGAAAACUCGAGGCUCAACCUCGAGACGUCGGCGGAAACCAUCUGGCUAGAGUCCGGAAGAGGAGAGUGGAAUUCCUGGUGUAGCGGUGAAAUGCGCAGAUAUCAGGAAGAACACCCGUGGCGAAGGCGGCUCUCUGGGACGGUACUGACGCUGAGACGCGAAAGCGUGGGGAGCGAACAGG
rnacentral:rRNA from 1 species